GUUUUGUUUUAGAUAUAGGUUGCUAUGGAGAUUCUCUACAUAGGAACAACCUCCCUAUGAUGCUGCCGAUCGGCUGCUCGCGUGAUGAGGUAAUGACGCCGGCUCUGCGUAAUAACGUCAUGGACGCACGCACUGAAGUUGGCCGAACCGGCGCGAGAUCCGGACCGGGCUGACAGGGAGAUGCAAUUAUUCCGGUGGUGGGUAAGUUGAUUGUUAUCUAACAAAAUUAUAAAACACAACUUUUGUUUUUGCCCCCAUUUUUCAUGAGCUGAACUCAAAGAUCUAAUACUUUUUCUAUGUACACAAAAGGCCUGUUUCACUCAAAUAUUAUUUACCAAUCUGUCUAAAUCUGUGUUAGUGAGCACUUAUCCUUUGCGGAGAUAAUCCAUCCACCUCAUGGGUGUGGUAUAUCAAGAUGCUGAUUAGAUAGCAUGAUUAUGGCACAGGUGUGCCUUAGGCUGGCCACAAUAAAAGGCCACUCUUGUGAUUGCUCCCAGACGCUCUUAUUGUGUUAGACGAUGCCUCGAUAUCAAGGCAUCGUGUAAUACCCCCCUACACUGCUGGGGAUCUAAGUGAUCGCUUUAGGAGCUGCCAGCAAGGGAACUGUCUGAACGGUCAGGCAGUCCCCCAGGCUGCUAAAAAAAAAUAAUAAAAAUAAAUAUAUUAUACAUAUACAGGUGUUUCUCAUUUAGCGACCUACCUGUUUUACCACGACUCGCACUUCCGACCGAGCUUAAGUGCGAGCCGUCAUGGGGAUUCCCUGAUCUGGUGCGCAUGUCUAUGUUCG